AUUGAACGCUGGCGGCAGGCCUAACACAUGCAAGUCGAACGAGUGGCGGACGGGUGAGUAAUGUCUGGGAAACUGCCUGAUGGAGGGGGAUAACGUCUGGAAACGGUAGCUAAUACCGCAUACCAUCGGAUGAGCCCAGAUGGGAUUAGCUAGUUGGCGGGGUAAAGGCUCACCUAGGCGACGAUCCCUAGCUGGUCUGAGAGGAUGACCAGCCACACUGGAACUGAGACACGGUCCAGACUCCUACGGGAGGCAGCAGUGGGGAAUAUUGCACAAUGGGCGCAAGCCUGAUGCAGCCAUGCCGCGUGUAUGAAGAAGGCCUUCGGGUUGUAAAGGACUUUCAUUGGGGAGGCGGUACCCGCAGAAGAAGCACCGGCUAACUCCGUGCCAGCAGCCGCGGUAAUUC
rnacentral:rRNA from 1 species